CUCCUACGGGAGGCAGCAGUGGGGAAUUUUGGACAAUGGGCGCAAGCCUGAUCCAGCAAUGCCGCGUGAGUGAAGAAGGCCUUCGGGUUGUAAAGCUCUUUUGUCAGGGAAGAAACGGUUCGGGUUAAUACCUUGGGCUAAUGACGGUACCUGAAGAAUAAGCACCGGCUAACUACGUGCCAGCAGCCGCGGUAAUACGUAGGGUGCAAGCGUUAAUCGGAAUUACUGGGCGUAAAGCGUGCGCAGGCGGUUGUGCAAGACAGAUGUGAAAUCCCCGGGCUCAACCUGGGAAUUGCAUUUGUGACUGUACGGCUAGAGUGUGUCAGAGGGGGGUAGAAUUCCACGUGUAGCAGUGAAAUGCGUAGAGAUGUGGAGGAAUACCGAUGGCGAAGGCAGCCCCCUGGGAUAACACUGACGCUCAUGCACGAAAGCGUGGGGAGCAAACAGGAUUAGAUACCCUGGUAGUCCACGCCCUAAACGAUGUCUACUAGUUGUCGGGUCUUUAUUGACUUGGUAACGCAGCUAACGCGUGAAGUAGACCGCCUGGGGAGUACGGUCGCAAGAUUAAAACUCAAAGGAAUUGACGG
rnacentral:rRNA from 1 species